AUUGAACGCUGGCGGCAGGCUUAACACAUGCAAGUCGAGCGGGGAAGGUUGCUUCGGUAACUGACCUAGCGGCGGACGGGUGAGUAAUGCUUAGGAAUCUGCCUAUUAGUGGGGGACAACAUCUCGAAAGGGAUGCUAAUACCGCAUACGUCCUACGGGAGACAGCAGGGGACCUUCGGGCCUUGCGCUAAUAGAUGAGCCUAAGUCGGAUUAGCUAGUUGGUGGGGUAAAGGCCUACCAAGGCGACGAUCUGUAGCGGGUCUGAGAGGAUGAUCCGCCACACUGGGACUGAGACACGGCCCAGACUCCUACGGGAGGCAGCAGUGGGGAAUAUUGGACAAUGGGGGGAACCCUGAUCCAGCCAUGCCGCGUGUGUGAAGAAGGCCUUUUGGUUGUAAAGCACUUUAAGCGAGGAGGAGGCUACUGGUAUUAAUACUACCGGAUAGUGGACGUUACUCGCAGAAUAAGCACCGGCUAACUCUGUGCCAGCCGCCGCAGUAACAC
rnacentral:rRNA from 1 species